AUGUUUAAAAAAACAUAUGCUGAGAACCUGCCUGCACUUGAAGGAAAACAGCAGUGGGAUAUUGUAGACCCUGGUUUCAAACUAAGUCCACCUAUACAGAACAAAGCUGCACCUGGCAGGCCAAGGAAGACAAGAAUUAAGCCAGCAAGUGAAGGAAAAGGACUUGGUCCUAGGAAGAGAAAAUGCAAGAGGUGUGGUGGCUUGGGUCACUUACUGAAAACCUGCAAAAAAGCCAUUGAUCCAGCAUUUGGUGAAGAAGAUGCACACUGGGGAGCUGACAAUGCUGAAGAAGACCCUCCUAACCAAAAUGCAGACCUACAUGAUAAACAACAAGAAGAAGAGGAGCCAUACAGUGAAGAUGAAGCUCCAGUGCAGCCUGCAGGUGAAGAUGAAGCUCUAGUGCAGCCUGCAGGUGAAGAUGAAGCUCCAGUGCAGCCUGGAGGUGCAGAUGAUGCUCCAGUGCACAGGAUGCUCCAGUAG
rnacentral:rRNA from 1 species